UAAUUUAAAACCCUAAGUUUACUCUCCUCACCCUCUCCGCCGACACUCCCUCUCCCUCUCCCUCUCCCAAUUUCCCCUAAACCUCCUCAUCGCCGCUGGCCUCUCUUCCUCUUCUCUUCAUCGCCGCCGAACCCUUUCCACCCGAUCCCCUUCCUCUUCUCCUCCGCCCCUCUUGCUGUGAUCGCCUCUUCAUCUUGUCUUCGUCGUCGACCAAAGGAGCAACCGCUGGCACCUCUGGAUACCGAAGCAGCUGUCCAUUUCGGACGUCGGCUCGUCACGCCAUCGAUUCACCGCCGGCCAUGGGAGAUUUGGUGAUGCCGAGGCUGUGCACUCGCUCAAAUCCCUUUCUCCUCUAUUCUUCUUACUGUCAUCGUUCAAUCCGUUCACCACCGGUGCUUCUUGUCUCUUGCCCUAGUCAGAUUUCCUCCGCAAGUUGCCAUUUCCGACCACGAGCCUGCAUCAUCCCAUCGAUCCGUGCCCUAACUUACAUAACCGACGCUGUGCCCUAGUUGUGCUUGCCACAGUGCUGAUCAUCGAUCAUUGAUGUCGACAUUCCAGGCGGGCUGGUCGUCACCAGUGAGGCUCUUCCACCAUCGUAGAUCGUCGUCUGCCCUAAUGUGAGCUUGACUUUGCCUUUCUGCCCCAAUUGGUUCUCUGGUGGUCAUGGAGCAGCUCCAUCAGAUCAUUGGUGAGGGUACUUGGAUUGAAAAUCCACUUGCAUGUGAAAUGUGAAGGUUUUAGAGCUGGAUUGAGGGCUUUGAUUCAUGGACUUGGAUUCGAGAUGUACCACUCGACGUGGGAUUAGUUUGUCACGAUCGACAGAUAAAGGCGGAUAUUUCUUGCUUUAUCUCUUUGGUAUCAGGUAAAAGAUUAUGGAGUCGCCUGGAGAUCCUGUCCGUCAGUCCCACGUCACAUUCGAGGAUGAUCUUAUGAUUUUGGUAAUCUUAUGCUAUUUGUAUUUGUUUUUGUACUUGUGCUUGUACUUGUGUAUUCUGUUACUUGGUGCAUCGUUUGUGUUAUCUUGUAUUUGAUUUGA